GACGAGGGGUGCAAACGUUAUUCGGAAUCACUGGGUGUAAAGGGUGCGUAGACGGGAGUCCAAGCCUAUUGUUAAAUCUUUCGGCCUAACCGAAAGUUUGCGGUGGGAACUGGUCUUCUAGAGGAUGGAAGAGAGAAGUGGAAUUUCUGGAGUAGCGGUGGAAUGCGUAGAUCUCAGAAGGAACACCGAUGGCGAAGGCAGCUUCUUGGUCCAUUUACUGACGUUGAGGCACGAAAGCGUGGGUAGCAAACAGG
rnacentral:rRNA from 1 species